rnacentral:rRNA from 1 species
UGAGGAAUAUUGGUCAAUGGGCGCAAGCCUGAACCAGCCAUGCCGCGUGCAGGAUGAAGCAUCUAUGGUGUGUAAACUGCUUUUGUACGGGAAGAAACACCUCUACGUAUAGAGGCUUGACGGUACCGUAAGAAUAAGGAUCGGCUAACUCCGUGCCAGCAGCCGCGGUAAUACGGAGGAUCCAAGCGUUAUCCGGAAUCAUUGGGUUUAAAGGGUCCGUAGGCGGUUUUAUAAGUCAGUGGUGAAAUCCGGCAGCUCAACUGUCGAACUGCCAUUGAUACUGUAGAACUUGAAUUAUUGUGAAGUAACUAGAAUAUGUAGUGUAGCGGUGAAAUGCUUAGAUAUUACAUGGAAUACCCAUUGCGAAGGCAGGUUACUAACAAUUGAUUGACGCUGAUGGACGAAAGCGUGGGGAGCGAACAGG